AGUGAACGCUGGCGGCGUGCUUAACACAUGCAAGUCGAACGAGAACGGGUUAUAGCUUGCUAUAAUUGUCAGCUAAGUGGCGCACGGGUGAGUAAUGUAUAGGUAAUAUGCCUCUUACUAAGGGAUAACAAAUGGAAACGUUUGCUAAUACCUUAAACUCUUUAUUAACAGAAGUUAAUAGGGAAAAGAUUUAUUGGUAAGAGUUUAGCCGGUAUUUUAUCAGUUAGUUGGUGGGUUAAUGGCUUACCAAGACUAUGACACAUAACUGGUUUGAGAGGAUGAUCAGUCACACUGGAACUGAGACACGGUCCAGACUCCUACGGGAGGCAGCAGUGGGGAAUAUUGCACAAUGGACGAAAGUCUGAUGCAGCAACGCCGCGUGGAGGAUGACACAUUUCGGUGCGUAAACUCCUUUUAUAUGAGAAGAUAAUGACGGUAUUAUAUGAAUAAGCACCGGCUAACUCCGUGCCAGCCGCCGCCGUAAUAC
rnacentral:rRNA from 1 species